rnacentral:rRNA from 1 species
GAUGAACGCUGGCGGCGUGCCUAAUACAUGCAAGUCGAGCGAACAGACGAGGAGCUUGCUCCUCUGACGUUAGCGGCGGACGGGUGAGUAACACGUGGAUAACCUACCUAUAAGACUGGGAUAACUUCGGGAAACCGGAGCUAAUACCGGAUAAUAUAUUGAACCGCAUGGUUCAAUAGUGAAAGACGGUUUUGCUGUCACUUAUAGAUGUAUCCGCGCCGCAUUAGCUAGUUGGUAAGGUAACGGCUUACCAAGGCAACGAUGCGUAGCCGACCUGAGAGGGUGAUCAGCCACACUGGAACUGAGACACGGUCCAGACUCCUACGGGAGGCAGCAGUAGGGAAUCUUCCACAAUGGGCGAAAGCCUGACGGAGCAACGCCGCGUGAGUGAUGAAGGUCUUCGGAUCGUAAAACUCUGUUAUUAGGGAAGAACAAAUGUGUAAGUAACUAUGCACGUCUUGACGGUACCUAAUCAGAAAGCAACGGCUAACUACGUG